rnacentral:hammerhead_ribozyme from 1 species
GCACUGCUGAUGAGUCCCAAACAGGACGAGACAGCUAUCCAGUGU